GAUGAACGCUGGCGGCGUGCCUAAUACAUGCAAGUCGAGCGAACGGACGAGAAGCUUGCUUCUCUGAUGUUAGCGGCGGACGGGUGAGUAACACGUGGAUAACCUACCUAUAAGACUGGGAUAACUUCGGGAAACCGGAGCUAAUACCGGAUAAUAUAUUGAACCGCAUGGUUCAAAAGUGAAAGACGGUCUUGCUGUCACUUAUAGAUUGAUCCGCGCUGCAUUAGCUAGUUGGUAAGGUAACGGCUUACCAAGGCAACGAUGCAUAGCCGACCUGAGAGGGUGAUCGGCCACACUGGAACUGAGACACGGUCCAGAAUCCUACGGGAGGCAGCAGUAGGGAAUCUUCCGCAAUGGGCGAAAGCCUGACGGAGCAACGCCGCGUGAGUGAUGAAGGUCUUCGGAUCGUAAAACUCUGUUAUUAGGGAAGAACAAAUGUGUAAGUAACUGUGCACAUCUUGACGGUACCUAAUCAGAAAGCCACGGCUAACUACGUG
rnacentral:rRNA from 1 species